CCUACGGGAGGCAGCAGUGGGGAAUAUUGGACAAUGGGCGAAAGCCUGAUCCAGCCAUGCCGCGUGUGUGAAGAAGGCCUUAUGGUUGUAAAGCACUUUAAGCGAGGAGGAGGCUCUUUUGGUUAAUACCCAAGAUGAGUGGACGUUACUCGCAGAAUAAGCACCGGCUAACUCUGUGCCAGCAGCCGCGGUAAU
rnacentral:rRNA from 1 species